rnacentral:rRNA from 1 species
ACAGCAGCAGCCACGGUAAUACGAAGGGUGCAAGCGUUACUCGGAAUUACUGGGCGUAAAGUGUGCGUAGGUGGUGGUUUAAGUCCGUUGUGAAAGCCCUGGGCUCAACCUGGGAAUUGCGGUGGAUACUGGGUCACUAGAGUGUGGUAGAGGAUAGUGGAAUUUCCGGUGUAGCAGUGAAAUGCGUAGAGAUCGGAAGGAACAUCUGUGGCGAAGGCGACUAUCUGGGCCAACACUGACACUGAGGCACGAAAGCGUGGGGAGCAAACAGGAUUAGAUACCCCGGUAGUCCCUGUCUCUUAUAA